UGGGGAAUUUUGGACAAUGGGCGAAAGCCUGAUCCAGCCAUGCCGCGUGCAGGAUGAAGGCCUUCGGGUUGUAAACUGCUUUUGUACGGAACGAAAAGACUCUGGUUAAUACCUGGGGUCCAUGACGGUACCGUAAGAAUAAGCACCGGCUAACUACGUGCCAGCAGCCGCGGUAAUACGUAGGGUGCAAGCGUUAAUCGGAACUACUGGGCGUAAAGCGUGCGCAGGCGGUUAUAUAAGACAGAUGUGAAAUCCCCGGGCUCAACCUGGGAACUGCAUUUGUGACUGUAUAGCUAGAGUACGGCAGAGGGGGAUGGAAUUCCGCGUGUAGCAGUGAAAUGCGUAGAUAUGCGGAGGAACACCGAUGGCGAAGGCAAUCCCCUGGGCCUGUACUGACGCUCAUGCACGAAAGCGUGGGGAGCAAACAGGAUUAGAUACCCUGGUAGUCCACGCCCUAAACGAUGUCAACUGGGUUGUUGGGUCUUUCACUGACUCAGUAACGAAGCUAACGCGUGAAGUUGACCGCCUGGGGAGUANGCCCAAGGUUGAAACUCAAAGGA
rnacentral:rRNA from 1 species